rnacentral:rRNA from 1 species
UACGUAGGGGGCAAGCGUUGUCCGGAAUCAUUGGGCGUAAAGAGCGUGUAGGCGGCUCGGUAAGUCCGCUCUGAAAACCCGCGGCUCAACUGCGGGCUUGCAGCCGAUACGGGCAGGCUAGAGUUCGGUAGGGGAGACUGGAAUUCCUGGUGUAGCGGUGAAAUGCGCAGAUAUCAGGAGGAACACCGGUGGCGAAGGCGGCGACCUGGGACAAUACUGACGCUGAGGUGCGAAAGCGUGGGGAGCAAACAGG